CUUUACAAAAGGUAGGUAAGUGAAGUCAAUGCGGUACAUCAAGCAUGUCAAACUCAAAGGCUAAGACGGGCCAAAUAAACCAGAUUUAAGUUUAUUUGGGCCGCAAAAAAACCCCAAAACUUCAGUUUUCAUAGAAAUGUAGGUUUAUUUCGAAAAGCACAGUAUAAAAAAAGUUGCCUGACACUGGACGUCCUCACGCUUAAAGGGCUUCAAAGUAAACAAAAGAGCAC